GAGUUUGAUCUUGGCUCAGGACGAACGCUGGCGGCGUGCCUAACACAUGCAAGUCGAACGGAGAUAGUUAAUGAAGCUUGCGAUUUAGCUAUCUUAGUGGCGAACGGGUGAGUAACGCGUGGGUAACCUGCCCUUAAGACCGGGACAACAGCUGGAAACGGCUGCUAAUACCGGAUGUAUUAUCUGAGAGGCAUCUCUUAGAGAAGAAAAGCUGGCCUCUGAAAAUGCUAGCGCUUAGGGAUGGACCCGCGUCUGAUUAGCUAGUUGGU
rnacentral:rRNA from 1 species